rnacentral:rRNA from 1 species
GUGGGGAAUCUUGCGCAAUGGGCGAAAGCCUGACCCAGCAACGCCGCGUGAAGGAAGAAGGCCCUCGGGUUGUAAACUUCUUUUAAGAGGGACGAAAGAAAUGACGGUACCUCUUGAAUAAGCCACGGCUAACUACGUGCCAGCAGCCGCGGUAAUACGUAGGUGGCGAGCGUUAUCCGGAUUUACUGGGUGUAAAGGGCGUGUAGGCGGUCCAUUAAGUGUGCGGUGAAAUUCGGAGGCUCAACCUCCGUCCCGCCGCGCAAACUGAUGGUCUUGAGAUUGGGAGGGGGAUGCGGAAUUCCUGGUGUAGCGGUGAAAUGCAUUGAUAUCAGGAGGAACACCGGCGGCGAAAGCGGCAUCCUGGCUUAUAUCUGACGCUGAGGCGCGAAAGCGUGGGUAGCAAACGGGAUUAGAAACCCGUGUAGUCC